GGGGAAUUUUGGACAAUGGGGGCAACCCUGAUCCAGCCAUGCCGCGUGAGUGAAGAAGGCCUUCGGGUUGUAAAGCUCUUUCGGCCGGGAAGAAAACGUGUGGGCUAAUAUCCUGCGCGGAUGACGGUACCUUAGCAAGAAGCACCGGCUAACUACGUGCCAGCCGCCGCGGUAAUACGUAGGGUGCGAGCGUUAAUCGGAAUUACUGGGCGUAAAGCGUGCGCAGGCGGUUGUGUAAGACAGGUGUGAAAUCCCCGGGCUUAACCUGGGAACUGCGCUUGUGACUGCACGGCUAGAGUACGGCAGAGGGGGGUGGAAUUCCUGGUGUAGCAGUGAAAUGCGUAGAUAUCAGGAGGUACACCGAUGGCGAAGGCAGCCCCCUGCGCCUGUUCUGACGCUCAUGCACGAAAGCGUGGGGAGCAAACA
rnacentral:rRNA from 1 species